CCUACGGGUGGCAGCAGUGGGGAAUUUUGGACAAUGGGCGAAAGCCUGAUCCAGCCAUGCCGCGUGCAGGAUGAAGGCCUUCGGGUUGUAAACUGCUUUUGUACGGAACGAAACGGCCUUUUCUAAUAAAGAGGGCUAAUGACGGUACCGUAAGAAUAAGCACCGGCUAACUACGUGCCAGCAGCCGCGGUAAUACGUAGGGUGCAAGCGUUAAUCGGAAUUACUGGGCGUAAAGCGAGCGCAGGCGGUUAUGUAAGACAGUUGUGAAAUCCUCGGGCUUAACCUGGGAACUGCAUCCGUGACUUCAUAGCUAGAGUACGGUAGAGGGGGAUGGAAAUGCGCGUGUAGCAGUGAAAUGCGUAGGGAUGCGGAGGAAAACCGAUGGCGAAGGCAAUCCCCUGGACCUGUACGGACGCGCAUGCACGAAAGCGUGGGGAGCCAACGGGAUUAGAUACCCUUGUAGUC
rnacentral:rRNA from 1 species